rnacentral:lncRNA from 1 species
GGAGGGUGUACAUGCACACACACAUGCUUGCAUGCUCACACAUACACACACACACACACACACACAAUUAGAAUUCACAAUGGAGCCUCUGUGUUUAAGUGUGGCUCCUGUGCUGAUGCUGAUGAGAAGUGGACCUGUUGUUCUGGCCUGGAUUUCUUUCUUUGCUUGGGAGCAUUUACUGCCCUAAUAGACCAGAGCUCCAGUCCUGACUUUAAGUCACCAGCAUUGACCAGGAAUGGAGGAAGGAGACACACCAGCAUCCUAAGUGUGACUCUGAAUGUCCGAGGUCCUUUCUCCCUGGGUUUU